AAAAUAUUCGAUUGACUACCUCCCCAACAAUGGCAGAACUGGCCAUCUCAGCCAUUUUGAUUUAAAGCAAACGUCCCCUGCACAAGAAAAGAGAAGAAGUAGCAUUAGACCGUGGCACUGGAAGCGCAGGAUCGAUCGGCAAGCUGGAAGGUUUAUGUGUAUAAAAAAAAAAAAAAACCAAAACCAAUCUUACGAAAGGUUAUGCAUGAUCUGACCUUUGGUGCGCUUCUUCCGGCACUUGGUAACCAAUAAAAAGCACGCUCCGUAGGGGCCAGGCCAGGGGUGAGCGGCUCUCCCACUCUGGUCGGCCCUCCUCCUUCAGCCUUCUCUCGGUGUCGGGGAAGGUAUCUAUAUCUUCUCCCUCGAUGUCCUGCAGUGAAACGUCCGCGGCAGCGCAUCCAGCCCCGUCCGUCCAGGGCCGCUCGAGCCGCCUGUGGACGAACAGGAAGUACGUGAGGCGAGACGCAGCGCGCGAUGGAUCCACGUCUAGGAGGUUCCCGCGGUUUGCGCUUGGAAGUCUCGCGAGGCCGGCGAGGCGCAGCGAUGCGAAGCCACCCAGCAAUGAGGUUCGGCUGUUCGCAGGAGUUCUCGUGGGGACGAAGCGACGUGAAGAAGUGCGGUUUCUGGUGGUAACAUGAGGACGCGGGUACGCGGGUGGAUAAUAAGGAAAAGUGCCGGUGUCAGAGUCGCCGAUUUGCCCAGAAACACGCGUUUCUGGAGUAAGGAAACGUUGUUUAACCAAAUCCACACCUAAUCAGGCGCGUUAAAAUAAUAUCCAAGGGAGGAGAUCGUAUGUGGGUAGACUGCUUUUAGGUGACAAGUGUUUUCCAUUUUGUUCGCUCCUUUAUUAUAGUAUAGAUACGUGCACACGUAGGCUGUGAACACGAUCUUCACUACUAAGAUUUGAGUUGUAUUUUUGUCUCUU